AUGCCGUUGGACUCGGGCGCGCAGAAGGUGAAGCCCAUGCCGAGGAAGUUGCAGGCGGCGAGGAUGAAGAGCGAGUUCCGCACCCCGAUGCCGGCCUUGUACCCGUGGUCCACCUUGGCCGGGUCCUUGUUCUGCGCCAGGUACAGGAACCCGAACGACCCCACGAUGGCCCCCAGCUUCCCCGCCGCCGCCGAGAUGCCGUGGCACGUCGACCGGAGCCUCGCCGGGAAGAUCUCCGCUGGCACGAUGAAGGUGGUGGAGUUGGGCCCGAAGUUGGCGAAGAAGAAGGUGAGCGCGUACAGCACCACGAACCCGAUGUGGUUCCCCGGCGUCGUCCAGUGGUGGUACGGGAAGGCGAGCCCCAGCAUGAACACGGCCAUGAAGAAGAAGCCGCCGAGCUGGAUCCAGAACCGCCCGAUCCGGUCGAUCAGCGCCACCGUGAACCAGUAG
rnacentral:rRNA from 1 species